rnacentral:rRNA from 1 species
CAGCCGCCGCGGUAAUAUGGAGGGUGCAAGCGUUAAUCGGAAUUACUGGGCGUAAAGCGUGCGUAGGCGGUUCGUUAAGUCUGUUGUGAAGGCCCCGGGCUCAACCUGGGAAUGGCAAUGGAUACUGGCGAGCUAGAGUGUGUCAGAGGAUGGUGGAAUUCCCGGUGUAGCGGUGAAAUGCGUAGAGAUCGGGAGGAACAUCAGUGGCGAAGGCGGCCAUCUGGGACAACACUGACGCUGAGGCACGAAAGCGUGGGGAGCAAACAGGAUUAGAUACCCCCGUAGUCCCUGUCUCUUAUAC